ensembl:snRNA LOC120102108 U2 spliceosomal RNA
CUUACAUCCGAUGGUGAAGGUGGCAGGUGGGCAGUGAGACCACGUGUAGUAUCCGUUCUUACCAGUUUAAUAUCUGAUAUGUCCUCUAUCCGAGGGCAAUAUAUUAAAUGGACUUUUGGAAGGAGGAGUCGGAAUAGAAGCUCGCUCUGUCUACUCCACUCACCGACCUGGUAUUGUAGGACCUCCAGGAACGGUGCACCCCUU